rnacentral:sRNA from 1 species
UUCGGGUUGUAGGUGUAAAUAAACGGUGGAGCGGCUGCAAAAGAGCCACCUUACUGGGUAAAAUCAACUUGUGCCGCGGAACCCGCUCCUCAGUAAGACAUCUUUGGAAGCGCGGGCAACGCAGGUAUUAUCGUCUAGGGUCGGUUGCAGCCGGCCC